rnacentral:rRNA from 1 species
UACGAAGGGGGCUAGCGUUGCUCGGAUUGACUGGGCGUAAAGGGCGCGUAGGCGGUUCGUACAGUCAGACGUGAAAUUCCUGGGCUCAACCUGGGGCUGCGUUUGAUACGUGCGGACUUGUAGUGCGGAAGAGGGUCGUGGAAUUCCCAGUGUAGAGGUGAAAUUCGUAGAUAUUGGGAAGAACACCGGUGGCGAAGGCGGCGACCUGGUCCGAUACUGACGCUGAGGCGCGAAAGCGUGGGGAGCAAACAGG